rnacentral:lncRNA from 1 species
GUCUACAAAACCCCACAGCUCCUAAGAAUUCUCUCACCUGCCUUCUGCCCUUAAGCUCCGGUAGAUUGCAAAUAACCUGCUUUCUUUCUGUUCCCGAGCAGCGUUCGGACCCGUCGGAUGGUAAAUCCCACGUAAGGUACCUGCCGUCGGAAGAUUUGAACUUUCUACUUGGACACCUAACACCCACAGUCCUCCAGCUGCGUUUGGACCCGUUAGAUCGUGAAUCCCAUGUAAGGUACCUGCCGUCGGAAGAGGAUUGAACUUUCUACUUGGACACCUCAUACCCACAGUCCUCCAGGCGCCACUUGGAUGAAGAGAGGGCAACAUUGCAACUCUCCAUGCUCCUGCAAUAUCCAUGGCUAUUCUGU